rnacentral:tmRNA from 14 species
GAAAACUCGUUAAAAUUAUUUCAACUAUUUAAACGGCGAAAAUAACUACGCUUUAGCUGCUUAAUAUCUGAAUUAUAGUAAGAUCAAGCCUUGGCGCAUAAGAUGCGCAAGCUAAAUGUCCACGGAAAGCCUUGGUUUAUGGCGUUCCAUUUUUGGGCAUCGUAAAAAUAAACAUAGAGAUAUUGGCACUUCGACGAUAACUCGAAAUUUAAGAAGAUAAGCUUGUAGUAGGUUGUUUUUGAUCAGCUGCUUGACGAAAAUUAAACAGAAACUAAGUAUGUAGAAAGCCUUUGAGCUGCUUGUUUGGAC